rnacentral:tRNA from 1 species
GGCCUCGUAGCUCAGCUGGUAGAGCAUGCGGGCGGUGUCCAUGCGUGGGUUCGAAUCCCACCGAGGCUA